rnacentral:lncRNA from 1 species
CUGGUUGGGUGCAUGGGCCGGUUCACAUGAGUGGCUGUGUGGGCCUUUGGGUUGAGAAGUACACCGGCCUCCCCGGGAUUCUGGGCGGUAGCUACCAGCCCCUUGUCUAGAAAGAGGCUCCUCGCUCGCCGCGAGGGGUGAGGGCGCACGGCGCCUGGGAUCCGCCCCUUGGGCCCCUCCCCGACGCAGCCACCGCCCACCCGCCGGCCUUGGGCUCCCGCACAUCUGGCGGUUCUCAGCGCAUCUGGGCAGCCGGCGCCGAAGCAUGAACAGCUCGCAGGCGGGCGCCACAGCCCGGGGCGCCUGGCAGAGCUCCUGCUGCAACCAGUCGGGGGUGCCGCCGGAGCCCCCCGAGGGGCCGCGCGCCGUGCAGGCGGCGGUGCUGGGCGUGCUGUCGCUGCUCGUGCUCUGCGGGGUCCUCUUCCUGGGCGCCGGCCUCCUGCUCCGCGCCCAGGGUUUAACAGCGCUGUUGGCCCGAGAGCUGCGCUCGUCCCGGGAGGGCGAGCCCGGUGGCGCCAGCGUCGAUGACGACGACUCCUAGGCGCCCGGCUGCGUUCGGGGGUCGCGACCUCCCGGCGGUCCGUGGACUCCAUGCCAGACUUUGAGGGAGCGGCCCCCCAGCACCCGAAGUCUGCAGUGGGGAACCCUGCCGCGAUGCUGGUGCGCUCGCACAGCUCAGUGCCUGGGAAGCUGGCCCAUGGUGUGUGCUGUGGAGGACCUCAGUGUUCCUGGAGGAAGAGCCUGAGACGUUUGCUAAGAAACUCUGACCCUGGUCAAGGCUGUCAGACUGAAUGGGGAGGGAAAGAAUUCAGAAAAUUGGGAAAUGGGUGUUGUUGUCACGCCAUCUGUCAGGCUCGGCUUGGGAGUGGCAGGGAUGAUGACUGCAGGUUGGUGUGCCAUGGAGUGAGGCCAGGCAUUUGGAUCCCAACAAGCUCCAUUAGCCUGUGCUGUCCUUGA